rnacentral:lncRNA from 1 species
CUUGAACUUGUGAUCCUCCUUUCUUGGCCUCUCCAGUAACUGGGGUUAUAGGUGUGUAUCAUUGUGCCAGGCAGUUACUGAUUUUUAUGUCUUGUUUAAGAAAUUUUGGUAAGGAUCACUUGAGCCCACAAGUUUGAGAUCAGCCCAGACAACACAGUAAGACCCCCAUCUCAAAAAAUUAAAAAAAAAAAAAGAAAAAGAUGCAGUUUUGGCUGGGUACAGUGGCACAGGCCUGUAAUCCCAGUGGCUUGGGAGGCUGAGGCAGUAGGAUUGCCAAGUUCAAAGCCAGCCUCAGCAAUUUAAUGAGAUCCUGUCUCAAAACAAAAAAUAAAAAUAAAAACAGACUGGAGCCGUGGCUCAGUGGUUAAACACCCCUCAGUUCAAUCCCCAACACACACACACACACACACACACACAAAUGUAGUUUUAUUAUCUGUGAAUAUUGUCAGUUUUGUUUCUUCCUUUUUAUCCUUGUUCCUUUUCUUUUUCACUCUACUCCAAGAAAUAUGAACAGUGAUAGAAAGUUCCCUUCUUGUCCUUAUUUUAUUUGCAGUACUGGGGAUUGAAUCCAGGUACUCUCUACCACUGUGCUAUGCCCCCGGCCCUUUUUAUUUUUUAUUUUGAGACAGGGUCUCUUUUAGUUGCCCAGGCUGGCCUUGAACUUGCUAUCCUCCUGCCUCAGCCUCCUGAGUCAUUGGGAUUACAAGCAUGUACCAGUGUGCCUGGCUUCUUUUCCUUAAAGAGAAUGCUUCUAAUAUGCUACACCACUAAAUGGGAUUGAAGAUUGCUAUAAUGUUUUUUAACAUUUUUUAUUUGCCUGAUUAGUUAUACAUGACAGUAGAAUGCAUUUUGACACAUCAUACAUAUAUGGAGUAUAACUUCUCAUCUGUCUGGUUGUACACGAUGUAGAGUUACACAGGUCAUGCAUGUAAUCACAUAUGCACAUAGGGUAAUAAUGUCCGAUUCAUUCUACUGUCAUUCCUACCCCCAUGCUCCCUCCCCUCCCUGCUGUAGUGUUGGCAGUGAUCCAAUUUAUAAGGUUAAAGUUCUCUUCCUUGUUUGAAUUUUACUGAAUGCCAUGUUGAUUUAUAAUGAUUCAGGUUUGUUUGUUUGUUUGUUUUGCUUUUGGUACUGGGGAUUGAAUCCAGGGGCACUUAACCACUGAGCCCAGCCCCUACCCCUUCUCCUGAAAUUCCCCCC